AGUGAACGCUGGCGGUAGGCCUAACACAUGCAAGUCGAACGGCAGCACAGUAAGAGCUUGCUCUUACGGGUGGCGAGUGGCGGACGGGUGAGGAAUACAUCGGAAUCUACUUUUUCGUGGGGGAUAACGUAGGGAAACUUACGCUAAUACCGCAUACGACCUACGGGCGAAAGCAGGGGAUCUUCGGACCUUGCGCGAUUGAAUGAGCCGAUGUCGGAUUAGCUAGUUGGCGGGGUAAAGGCCCACCAAGGCGACGAUCCGUAGCUGGUCUGAGAGGAUGAUCAGCCACACUGGAACUGAGACACGGUCCAGACUCCUACGGGAGGCAGCAGUGGGGAAUAUUGGACAAUAGGCGCAAGCCUGAUCCAGCCAUACCGCGUGGGUGAAGAAGGCCUUCGGGUUGUAAAGCCCUUUUGUUGGGAAAGAAAAGCAGCAGGUUAAUACCCCGCUGUUCUGACGGUACCCAAAGAAUAAGCACCGGCUAACUUCGUG
rnacentral:rRNA from 1 species